UUGACCUCGAAUCAGGUAGGAAUACCCGCUGAACUUAAGCAUAUCAAUAAGCGGAGGAAAAGAAACCAACAGGGAUUGCCCCAGUAACGGCGAGUGAAGCGGCAACAGCUCAAAUUUGAAAUCUGGCUCUCGGGCCCGAGUUGUAAUUUGUAGAGGAUGCUUUUGGUGAGGUGCCUUCCGAGUUCCCUGGAACGGGACGCCAUAGAGGGUGAGAGCCCCGUCUGGUUGGACACCGAUCCUCUGUAAAGCUCCUUCGACGAGUCGAGUAGUUUGGGAAUGCUGCUCUAAAUGGGAGGUAUAUGUCUUCUAAAGCUAAAUACC
rnacentral:rRNA from 1 species